GCUAAUAUGGGAAUAAUAUCACUAUGAAUCCUCAAAUUCUUCUCUACCUGCAAGCAUUUGUGGAGCUGGGAGUACUGAGCUACCUUUUGGAGAGUGGGAAAGACUAUUGAUGUCAUCUGAAACUUGCCCUUCUCAGCUUGGAAGUCAAGUGGGAGAUCAAGUCUCGGCACUUAUUAAAAAAAUGAUGAUUAGUAAUCAGAAUAGUUGGGCGAGCUGCAUUUACUGGAAACCAUCAAUGGAUUCUUUCAAAUAGUUAUGAUAAAUAUGUCCAUCCCCCAGAGAUCUUAAAUGAGAUGUGUCACCAAUUUUCAGUUGGCAUGCAGGUUUGCUGUCUUUAUCUGCCAUCUGUUAUUUUUGUCUAAUCUUUGUCCUGCUCAUUUGGAUCGUGGUGGAGGCUGGUGGAGCUAGCAAUGAGACCGAUUCGAUCCUUGCCAAGUCGGGACUCCGGACCAUUCAUGUUGGAUUCGAGCAGUGGAUGCCGAAUUAUUGGCAGGGUCGUCAUCGAUUGGAGGCUUGGAUGAGGCUUCGUGCAUUGAGGGGUUGGAGAUUGAAGGGGAGUUGCCUGAGAAAAAGACUUGUUAUGAAGGAGUAUUUUAUAAUUACUUUAGCAUAGGAAUGGAUGCUCAGGUGACUUACGGCUUUCAUCAUUUAUGUAAUGAGAAACCUUACCUGACACAAGGACCAAUUUCUAAUAAG